AAGACUAAUUACAUAGACCCCAAAUUGUGAGACUAUGCAUGUAGUAGAAAAAUGGGUAGAAUAAUUGUAUGUCAAUUAUCGAUAUGAGAUUAUUCUACCCUCACCGUGUAAAUGUACUAACGUUACCAAACGACGACUCGCCUUUGGGCGAAAUACCGCGGAGGCAACCCGAGAUCCGGGGGCGAAGAAAGAAGAAAAGGGAAAGAGCGCAAUAGGAUUGUUGGAUCGAGAUCAGUCGGCUGUAAACCAUAAGGCAAGCAAGUCCAGCGAUAAAAGUUUUUAUUUCCUAAAACCACCGCCAAACCCGUGGGGCAGCAUUUUGAGCUGCCAGGUGAAGCCGGAGGUGAUUCCUCAUCUCGUCGAGGGCAGCAAGGACCGUGAGCAUCCCGAAAGAGUGUCCAUCGUCAGGAGCCCCGAUCCUGAUUCCCUAUUUGGAAGGGUUAUCGUGAGCCUCCUGGGAAGGCCAACAUAAAGUUGCUUUCGACAACACGUGCUGUUACCUACAUUCAGAAAGGCCGACGCGAGAACCCACGCCGUCGGUGCUCGCCAAUACUGUACAGAGACCAGCCAAGCUCUACGCCGUGGAAACGCAAGCACCAUUCCCGGCGGUCCGCCAAUCAUCGGUGGCAUCCUCUAGUGCAUGUUCUUCGGCUGAAUCACCCGUGUAGCCCAUCAGACCCACGUCGUCGGCGCUCGCCGAUACCGUACGGUGACCAGCCAAGCUCUACGCCGUGGAAACGCAACCACCAUUCCCGGCGGUCCGCCUAUCCUCGGUUGCAUCCUUUAGUGCUUGUUACUAUAAGUCCGUCUGAAUCACCCGGGUAGCCCACCAGAGGGUCCAAGCGAGCCCGGCCUGCACCUCGGAAGUCCGUCACUGCGUUAGGUGAAGGAGGGAUCGACUCGUAUUAUCAACCAAGCCACGCCGAAUCCACGAGCACUCGCAGGGCUCUUUCGGCCGUUAACGAACGCGACACGGAGCCACAGCGACAAUCGACAGCCGAACCCCCAACCAUCGUUGAAGCCCUCGGCUCGUAUAGGAUACGAACCGAACCUAGGCCACCCCGCGAAGUCUGACAUGCAGUCGGGGCGACACCUCCCCCGAAGAGAUCAAGGUUGAUUGUAGGUCAUCUAGAUUUUGGUGGAGUGACGGAAUUGCAAGCAAAACUUCCGGCUCUACCUAAGCAACAUGAGUCUCAACGAACAGCGACGAAUAUUUUCCUCCUGCCGUGCCACCUCGAUGCCACCAGCAGUAACAGCAUGGCGAACACUAAGUUCAUCCGGUACUGGAAGUCUUGACUGGACCAUCGGAGAAGUAAAGCAGAUUACAGAUUCUGUGACCAAUUGACAUUACGGCAUGCUUUUACCGCAGAAUGCUCCUCGGAAUGCUCUCAACAUGUAAUGCACACAAUAAAAAUUUAAUAAAUACAGACCGCUAAUUAAACGAGAUUCUUAGUUUCAUGCAACAUUUUCCCAUUUCUGAUGUUUCAAUUUGUUUAUUUUGAUAGCUAUGAAAAGUCGAUUGGUUGAAUAAACUUAAUUUAAUCCUCACUGGAUAAACUUUGAUUAAUCAUUUCAAAUGAUUAAACUUAAAUUAAUCAUUCGCAGCUUAUUAUCAUAUUAAGCAUUACAAUGAGUGGAUAGAUCGAAUAGGGUUUUAGAUUAAACUUUAAUCUAUUUAGC